UACGGGGGGGGCAAGCGUUGUUCGGAAUUACUGGGCGUAAAGGGCUCGUAGGUGGCCAACUAAGUCAGACGUGAAAUCCCUCGGCUUAACCGGGGAACUGCGUCUGAUACUGGAUGGCUUGAGUUCGGGAGAGGGAUGCGGAAUUCCAGGUGUAGCGGUGAAAUGCGUAGAUAUCUGGAGGAACACCGAUGGCGAAGGCAGGUCUCUGGGCAUUAACUGACGCUGAGGAGCGAAAGCAUGGGGAGCGAACAGG
rnacentral:rRNA from 1 species